UACGUAGGGUGCAAGCGUUAAUCGGAAUUACUGGGCGUAAAGCGUGCGCAGGCGGUUCGCUAAGACAGAUGUGAAAUCCCCGGCUUAACCUGGGAACUGCAUUUGUGACUGGCGGGCUAGAGUAUGGCAGAGGGGGGUAGAAUUCCACGUGUAGCAGUGAAAUGCGUAGAGAUGUGGAGGAAUACCGAUGGCGAAGGCAGCCCCCUGGGCCAAUACUGACGCUCAUGCACGAAAGCGUGGGGAGCAAACAGG
rnacentral:rRNA from 1 species